GGGAGCAGGCUGUACGUCACCCACCUGAAAAACAACAGUACUUUGAUUACUUACAUGCAGGAACAAAAUUAAAGGCAGACCAUAAUUUGGUUUAGGGCAUAAUGUGCUAACAAAUAAAGUCAUCAUAAACUGAAAGAACUUGUGCCAAAUUGGAUGCAUCUGUAAUCCUUUUAAACAAGACUGAACUGAAGACAAAUUGAUUUUUUCAAUUACAGUAAUUAUUAAGAGUAUCAACCUACUUAAGAAGCAAUCACAAUUAAUUUCAUGUCAUUCACAUGUGGUUAAGAGUGACAAAAAAUAACACGACAAUUGUGCUGCAGACACUCCCAAGUAUGCACCUGUUUCUUGUGCAACUGACCAUAUCUUGCAAUUUAGUGAACUUAACUGAUUAAAUUUAGAAU
rnacentral:misc_RNA from 1 species